AAAAUGCAGAAGAAUAGUGUGUUGACAAGGCGCUUAAUAUGAUAUACAAUGAAUAUAAACAGCAGCUACCACUAUAAAUAGGGACUCUCCACCCUAUACAUAAGCAUAAAACAUCAAGUGAACACUCAGUGAGAAAUUGGUAAAAAACCACCUCUGGUGUACAAGUGGAGCGCUCAAAUUAUAAUACACUCACCCAUAUGGGUAUAUAUACAAAUGUAUAUGUAAACUUCAGAGACAACGUGUCUAG